rnacentral:rRNA from 1 species
AUGGAGGUGGCGGUGGUGGGCGCCGUGGUGGGCGCCGUGGUGACCAACCUCGUGUCCAAGCUCUCGGCGGUGAUAGACAAGAGAUUCAGCGAGUUCGGUGACCUUGAAGACGACAUCAGGUAUCUGAAAACCGAGCUCGCCAUUAUUGCUGCUAAAAUCGACGACCAGCACAAGGGGCAGCAGCCUAGUGUCUUGCAGAACAUAUCCACCGCAGACAUGCGCGAUUUGGCAUUCGACAUCGAGGAUUGCCUCGACCAGUUCCUUCCCUGUGCCGCGUGCAAGCGAGGGGCCGUGUCAAAAGGCGACUUAGUGGACUUUGCCAUUCAGGUUGGGAAACUCAAGAAGCGGCUGGAGAGGGCCAAGCAGCAGAGAACCGAUAAUGGUGCCAACGGCAGCCAGCAAGCCAUCGACCUUGCUGACCAAUUGCUUGCUAUUCUAGCUGAGCCUGCAGAUCAGGUGGGCAUCGAGGAACCCAAGCAGGAGAUCCUGGGUUUGCUCGGUAGUGAGAAGCUCCUGGUGAUAUCCAUCGUCGGGUUUGGCGGCUCGGGCAAGACCCAACUCGCAAGGGCGGUGUUCGACUGCGAUGAAGCCAAAGAGAAGUUCGGUGCCCGUGCCUGGCAUACGGCAUCGGAGCACAAAGAUGGGCUUGAGCUCUUGCUCGCGAUACUGCAGAAACUUUUUCCAAAAGAAACUCUACUAUCCGUGUCACAAAUGCAAAGUCAAGUCUCGAGGUUGCAACAACGUAUCAGAUUUGAAAAGACCAGGUGUUUAAUUGUAGUUGAUGAUAUCGAGAAGCAUCAUUGGGAAGCAAUAAAGAGUUUCUUUUCUGAGACAAGGAUAAUCAGAAUACUAGUGACCACAACUGUGCAGACAGUAGCCAAAGCAUGCACCAAAGAUCACGGUUAUAUUUACAAUAUGAGAACUCUUAGUGUAGGAGACUCUAAGGAUUUACUAAAGAAGUGGGUUGGUGAUUUCAAUAGAAAUUCAACUGACUUGGAGGAUGGUUCAGCUGCAAUUGUUCGCAAAUGCCAUGGCCAUCCACUAGCUCUCAUCAGUGUGGCCAACUAUUUGUUACAACAAGAGCAGAUUACAGGAGCAGUCUGCCAAAAUACCAGCAGGCUCCUAUGUACUCAUAUGGACGAGAACAAGCAUGGAGACUUCACAAAACUUCGACAGAUUCUGGUGAAUAAUUAUAUCAAUUUGCCUUUCCAUCUCAAGACAUGUUUGCUGUACACAAGUUUAUUCCCAAAUGAUCGUCCUGUCAGCACGAAAACUCUUACCAGCCGAUGGUUAGCCGAAGGAUACAUAAAGCGUGAGACUGAACGCACUUACCAGGAGUCUGCCGAUGAAAAGUUGGAGCAACUGAUGGACAGGAAUAUCAUUCGGCCGGUCGAUACAAGCAACCGUGGAGAAAAGAAGACAUGCAAACCUCACGGUAUCAUGCACCAGUUCAUGCUGUAUAAGUCCAUCUCUUCGAAUUUUGUUGCCCCAUCCCUUGAGAACCGAGGCAAUUUUCGUCACAUCAUGAUGGAUAACCAAAGAAAUAGAAGAGAAACCAACAUGGAUCAUGGUGCCGCCGGUCCAGCUGCACAUCGCCCCAACCAACCAAAAAACUUCUUUAGGUUCUUGAAACCAUCUAAGAGUACAGUAUCCAGUGAGGACCUGCGUCCCCGGUCUCUAACAGUCUUUGGAAGUGCAGAAGAAGCUGUUUAUUCGGAUUUGAUCAACUGUAAGCUGCUGAAAGUGUUGGAUCUAAAAGAGUGCAAUAAUUUGCGGGACAAACAUAUCAAGAACAUAUACAAGCUGUUGCAUCUCAAAUAUCUGACCCUCGGGAGCUCUGUUAGGAGACUUUCAGAUGAAAUAGGAAAUCUACAUUGUUUGGAGACACUCGACUUGAGGAAGACCAAGAUAGAAACACUACCUGUGGAAGUCAUCAGUCUGCCCCACCUAGCACACCUGUUCGGAAAGAUUAAGCUUAACAAGUUGAGUAGAAAGAAGCUUGACAAGUUACUGUCAGGAGAAUGCAACUUGGAGACUCUAUCAGGAGUUGUUGUGGAAAGGAACUCCCCAUUCCCUGAAUUGAUGGAACGUAUGAAAAAACUGACAAAGGUGAAGAUAUGGUGCGUGAUUACCAGCACAGAUGGGAAUUACACCAAACUCUCAGAUGCCAUUCGCAAGUUUGCUCAGGCUGGCAUGGAUACUUCACAAGACGCCCGUUCUCUAUCACUUCAUCUUAAUGGUUCUUCCAAAGAUCUAGUUCAGCUCAGCACGACAUCAAGACAGGCUGGGUCAGCUCCCCUGGUUUUUUAUCUUAGCUCACUGAAACUGCACGGCAGGCUGAGUCACUUCAAAGAGUUUGCUAAGGCCCUGUCUGGUCUCAGGGAAUUGUGCCUUACAUGUACUAAUCUGGAGGGGCCUGUUCUUCUAGCAUGUCUACGUGAGCUAUGGUGCCUGGUUUAUCUCAAACUGGUUGAAGACCGUCUUGAUGAUUUAGACAUAAACCUUGAUGGUGAUCUCGCAAGCCUGCAACGCCUAUGCAUUGUGGUGAAACAAUCCAAAUUCCCCACAAUUGCACAAGGAGCUUUGCCAGGUCUCGUUUCACUUCACAUGCUCUGCAAAGAUCUAGUGGGUCUUUGUGAUGACAUCAAAGUGGAAUGUUUCAGAGAUCUUCGUGAAGUCGCUCUGGACUCUGAGGUCAAUCAAGGAACCAUUGAACUCUGGGAAAAUAAAGCUAAGGAGCACCCUAAGAGGCCAAAGGUUCUGUUGCUCAAAAGGGUUGAGGCAGCCGACACCUGGUCUGCGGCGAAAUAUGUUGCCACUGAUCAGAGACCCUCCAUGCUUCUGGUGCAGGGGACGCCGUGA